UUGAUUUAAAUAAUUCAAAAUUUCAUUUCUAGUAACUUAAUAUUCUUAUCUUCAAUAUAUGGAUUAUUUUAAAUCAACAAAGUUUAUUUUAAUUCACUUCCUACGGGAUUAGUCGUAUAUUGUGGAACGGGUAUCAUUUUGUUUCAAUAUGGCAAAAGACGCAAGUCAGAGUACACAGUGUAUAUACAAAGUUAUAUGACAUUCAUGAUUUGAGAUAGUUGUGAAGAUGUCAGAAGUACAAAGCUUCAAAAUUCCGUCUUUAGGUUUCAGUUAUAAACUUUCUAGUGCCAUAUCUUCUUUCCAUUUCGAAAGAAAGAAAUAUUUUUUCAACACAAAAUAUUAAAUGUCUUUCUAUUACUGUUUUCAAAAUUAUAAUUCUAGUAAUUAAGUUUAAAAUUUAAUUUACAAAAGAAUUAAUUUUU